UUACUGACCCACCUAGACUGCUGGUCAAAAGCUCCUUGAGGACCUUUACGUCCCCAGCUCGGAGUCUUCAGUUGGGAGCUAUUACCUCUUCAAAGUGAUGUGUCCCCUGUUUGAAUAGCUUGUAUGCAAGCAAAAGAUUCUGCUGUAAUCUAGCUCUGCCAGGUCAGAGACCCACCAGCUUCCACCGAGGGUCAGAUGGUGGUGAUUGGAGGUGGGGGAAGGGAAGGAGGUGGCAGAACCUUGGGUCCUUGAGCAGGAGAGCCUGAUCAUGUUUACAGAAGUAAGCACACUUUGCCUGAAGCAGUUCUCCUCUGAUCUAGCUCCCACUGCCUUGCUUGUCACCCUGUCUCACAUAGCUCUCCACUCCAGAUGAUGGAGCUAGAGAUGAUGGAGUUGGAGAUGACGGUCUGCUGCUCAUGCUGGAGUGCUCCCAGAUGAUGGAGCUGGAGAUGACGAUCUGCUGCUUAUGCUGAAGUGUUGGAGGAGUCUCAGUGCAUUUGUGCUCCCCAAUUUCCUUGGCCCUUGCUACUCCACAUGCUCUUAUCUCUCUAGCUCUGCUUCCCAGAUUUAAUGGAUUUAGAUAAGGGACUAUCGUUAAAUAUUAUUUGAGAUUGUCCUAGAAAGUUUGAGUACUAAAAGCUUGGAUUCUGUUAUGAUUCUGAGAGAUGGCAAACCCUUUAAGAGGGAGGCCUGGUGUGAGGUGAUUUCAUCAUUGG
rnacentral:lncRNA from 1 species